rnacentral:rRNA from 1 species
UCCGUAGGGGGCUAGCGUUGUCCGGAAUCAUUGGGCGUAAAGCGCGUGUAGGCGGCCCGGUAAGUCCGCUGUGAAAGUCGGGGGCUCAACCCUCGGAUGCCGGUGGAUACUGUCGGGCUUGAGUACGGAAGAGGCGAGUGGAAUUCCUGGUGUAGCGGUGAAAUGCGCAGAUAUCAGGAGGAACACCGGUGGCGAAGGCGGGUCUCUGGGCCUGUCCUGACGCUGAGGCGCGAAAGCUAGGGGAGCGAACAGG